GUUCCUUCGGGAACAUCUGAUUAAAUUGAAAUGAUAUAGAGAAGAUUACCAUGGCCCCUACACAAGAAUGACACGAACAAAUCGAGAAAUAAUCCAAAAUUUU